rnacentral:rRNA from 1 species
AUUGAACGCUGGCGGCAUGCCCUACACAUGCAAGUCGAACGGCAGCAUGGAGAGCUUGCUCUCUGAUGGCGAGUGGCGAACGGGUGAGUAAUGCAUCGGAACGUACCGUGUAAUGGGGGAUAACGUAGCGAAAGUUACGCUAAUACCGCAUACGACCUGAGGGUGAAAGCAGGGGAUCGCAAGACCUUGCGUUAUACGAGCGGCCGAUGUCAGAUUAGCUAGUUGGUGAGGUAAAGGCUCACCAAGGCGACGAUCUGUAGCGGGUCUGAGAGGAUGAGCCGCCACACUGGGACUGAGACACGGCCCAGACUCCUACGGGAGGCAGCAGUGGGGAAUUUUGGCCAAUGGGGGCAACCCUGAUCCAGCCAUGCCGCGUGAGUGAAGAAGGCCUUCGGGUUGUAAAGCUCUUUCGGCCGGGAAGAAAUCGCACAGGCUAAUACUCUGUGUGGAUGACGGUACCGGCAUAAGAAGCACCGGCUAACUACGUGCCAGCAGCCGCCGUAA